GACGAACGCUGGCGGCGUGCUUAACACAUGCAAGUCGAACGGAAAGGCCCUGCUUUUGUGGGGUGCUCGAGUGGCGAACGGGUGAGUAACACGUGAGUAACCUGCCCUUGACUUUGGGAUAACUUCAGGAAACUGGGGCUAAUACCGGAUAGGAGCUCCUGCUGCAUGGUGGGGGUGGUAAAGUUUCGGCGGUUGGGGAUGGACUCGCGGCUUAUCAGCUUGUUGGUGGGGUAGUGGCUUACCAAGGCUUUGACGGGUAGCCGGCCUGAGAGGGUGACCGGCCACAUUGGGACUGAGAUACGGCCCAGACUCCUACGGGAGGCAGCAGUGGGGAAUAUUGCACAAUGGGCGGAAGCCUGAUGCAGCAACGCCGCGUGCGGGAUGACGGCCUUCGGGUUGUAAACCGCUUUCGCCUGUGACGAAGCGUGAGUGACGGUAAUGGGUAAAGAAGCACCGGCUAACUACGUG
rnacentral:rRNA from 1 species